UUAGCUACCUCUUAGUGUUGAGGGAGGGACCAGAAAUCCUCUCACAGGAUUGACUAAUGGCUCAGGAACCACAUUUGAUACAACUCACGACUCAGCACUUACUGUUGUGACCCUCAGGGGCUUACGGACACCAGCAUCCUUCUCUGUGCCUUACAUUAGCAGCCGCACCCACACCCCAAAUCCAGUGAAAGGAAUCUGCUUCCUGCUUCGCCUGUCCUCAGAUUGGGUCUGGGGGACUAACCGUUAGACAAACCAGACAUGGGGGACCAAGGGACGUCCCGUGAGGCCUGCAGUGACUCAGAGCCCACCUCCAGCUCUGGGGAAUGACUCCGGGCACUGCCACCUCGCCCGGCUCAUGGUUUGUAUUUUUAGUAGAGAUAGGAUUUCAUCACGUUGGCCAGACUGGUCUUGAACUCUUGACCUCAGGUGAUCCACCCGCCUCAGCCUCCCAAAGUGCUGGGAUUACAGGCCUGAGCGCCCGCACCCAGUGCAUGUCAUUGUUUUUAAUAACUAUACUGAAAUUUCCCUCAGGAAUAAAGUUUUGCCUAGUUCAAAAACUA